rnacentral:lncRNA from 1 species
AUCCAACCAACCAUCCAGGAUCUCAGGAGCAUCCCGACAGUCGGUGGCCUCACUCUUUGCUCCCUAUCUAGUGGCUGCCAGUAGAGAGCCAAGGAAACACUCCUUUGACUGAGUCUGUCAGAACACAGGUGCAACAGUCAAAGCAGAAAGUCUGCCUUCUGAGGCUAUCGUUUAUUGAGCAUCUACAUGACUGUCACUCAGCUUGGACUCUGCAUGCACUCUCUCAGUUUCCACAAUAACCUGAGCAGGU